UGAGGAAUAUUGGGCAAUGCCCGCAAGGGUGACCCAGCAACGCCGCGUGGAGGAUGAAUGUCGUAAGAUUGUAAACUCCUGUUAGAUGGGAAGAAUAGUACCGGUUGGACCGGUAUAUGACUGUACCCUCAGAGAAAGCCCCGGCUAACUACGUGCCAGCAGCCGCGGUAAUACGUAGGGGGCAAGCGUUGUCCGGAUUUACUGGGUGUAAAGGGCGCGCAGGCGGGAUAAAAAGUCAGUGGUGAAAUCCUACAGCUUAACUGUAGAACUGCCUUUGAUACUUUUAUUCUUGAGUUCGGGAGAGAGAGACGGAAUUCCAGGUGUAGUGGUGAAAUACGUAGAUAUCUGGAAGAACACCAGUUGCGAAGGCGGUCUCUUGGUCCGACACUGACGCUGAGGCGCGAAAGCGUGGGGAGCAAACA
rnacentral:rRNA from 1 species